rnacentral:misc_RNA from 1 species
GAUUGAAGAACGCAGCGAAAUGCGAUAAGUAGUGUGAAUUGCAGAAUUCAGUGAAUCAUCGAAUCUUUGAACGCACAUUGCGCCCCUUGGUAUCCCGAGGGGCAUGCCUGUUCGAGCGUCAUUUCACCACUCAAGCCUGGCUUGGUGUUGGGCGACGUCCUCUUUGGGGACGCGCCUCGAAACGCUCGGCGGCGUGGCACCGGCUUUAAGCGUAGCAGAAUCUUUCGCUUUGGAAGUCGGGGCCCCGUCUGCCGGAAGACCUGCUCGCAAGGUUGACCUCGGAUCAGGCAGGGAUACCCGCUGAACUUAAGCAUAUCAAUAAGCGGAGGA